UACGUAGGGUGCAAGCGUUGUCCGGAUUUAUUGGGCGUAAAGAGCGUGUAGGCGGCUAGGUAGGUCCGUUGUGAAAACUCGAGGCUCAACCUCGAGACGCCGGUGGAAACCAUCUAGCUAGAGUCCGGAAGAAGAGAGUGGAAUUCCUGGUGUAGCGGUGAAAUGCGUAGAUAUCAAGUGGAACACCAGUGGCGAAGGCGAGUCUCUGGACAUUUCCUGACGCUGAGGCACGAAAGCCAGGGGAGCAAACGGG
rnacentral:rRNA from 1 species